AACGUACGCUGGCGGCACGCCUAACACAUGCAAGUCGAGCGGGGUAGCAAUACCUAGCGGCAGACGGGUGCGUAACAUGUGGGAAUCUGCCUUUUGGUUCGGAACAACAUGGGGAAACCUGUGCUAAUACCGGAUAAGUCCUAACGGAGAAAGUUUUAAUGCCAAAAGAUGAGCCCGCAUUUGAUUAGCUUGUUGGUGAGGUAAAAGCUCACCAAGGCUAUAAUCAAUAGCUGAUUUGAGAGGAUGAUCAGCCACACUGGGACUGAGAUACGGCCCAGACUCCUACGGGAGGCAGCAGUGGGGAAUCUUGCACAAUGGGCGAAAGCCUGAUGCAGCGAUGCCGCGUGAGUGAAGAAGGCCUUUGGGUUGUAAAGCUCUUUUGUCGGGAAAGAUAAUGACUGUACCCGAAGAAUAAGGUCCGGCUAACUUCGUGCCAGCAGCCGCGGUAAUACGAAGGGACCUAGCGUAGUUCGGAAUUACUGGGCGUAAAGAGUAUGUAGGCGGCUAGAUAAGUUAAUUGUGAAAGCCCAAAGCUUAACUUUGGAACUGCAAUUAAAACUAUUUAGCUGGAGUAUGAUAGAGGAAAGCGGAAUACAUAGUGUAGAGGUGAAAUUCGUAGAUAUUAUGUAGAACACCAGUUGCGAAGGCGGCUUUCUGGAUCAUUACUGACGCUGAGAA
rnacentral:rRNA from 1 species